AAUUCAAUGAUUUCAACUUCACCGCUGACCAGCCACGUCUCAACGCCCUGGAGGGAUAUGCCCCUGAUCUCCGCCAGCCAGAGCAUCUGCUAAUAAGUAU